rnacentral:rRNA from 1 species
UAGGUUGAGGAGGCGGUGACCGUGGCAGUGGAGGAGGAGGAUGAGGUAGCCAACACUGUUUAUAUAUAUAUACACACAUAUAUAUAUUUUAAUUUGGGUAGCCCCCAAAAUAUUGGGACAUAUAAAAAAAGACAACUCUGUUCCGCAGAGUAGCUGUUGACAUUAUAGUUGCGCAGGAACUUUGUUGACUCUAGAGAACCUCGGGCAAAUCGCACAUCCCCAUGGUGGCAACUUUGCAUGCGGAUGUCAUCCAUAUCAACUUUCAAUGUCAGUUUCUGCACCUACCAUGGUGACCAUGAGUAACGGGGAACCAGGAUUCCAUUCCGUACAGGGACCCUGAGAAACGGCUACCACAUGCAAGGAAGGCAGCAGGCGCGCAAAUGACCCACUCCCGACACGGGAAGGUAGUGACGACAAAUAAGAAUACACGACUCUUUAGAGGCCCUGUAUUUGUAAUGAGUCCACUUAAAAUCCUUUAACUCUGAUCAAUUGAAGAGGAAGUCUGGUGCAGAGCCAUUGACACAUGCGUGCUGCAGU